rnacentral:rRNA from 1 species
UGAGUGCGAGCUUCUACGGAAGCGAAGUUGGUGACGUCAAGCUUCCAAGAAAAGCCCUAUACCCGUUAAGGCAUGAUUACCUGUACCCGAAACCGACACAGGUGGGGUGGUAGAGAAUACCGAGGGGCGCGAGGUAACUCUCUCUAAGGAACUCGGCAAAAUGACCCCGUAACUUCGGGAGAAGGGGUGCCAGCGCGAGCUGGUCGCAGUGAAUAGGCCCAGGCGACUGUUUACCAAAAACACAGGUCUCCGCUAAGUCGCAAGACGAUGUAUGGGGGCUGACGCCUGCCCAGUGCCGGAAGGUUAAAGAAGUUGGUCAGCGCAAGCGAAGCUAACGACUGAAGCCCCGGUGAACGGCGGCCGUAACAAUAACGGUCCUAAGGUAGCGAAAUUCCUUGUCGGGUAAGUUCCGACCCGCACGAAAGGCGUAACGAUCUGGGCGCUGUCUCGGAGAGAGGCUCGGCGAAAUAGAAUUGUCUGUGAAGAUGCGGACUACGUGCACCCGGACAGAAAGACCCUAUGAAGCUUUACUGUAGCUUGGUAUUGUGCUCGGGCUCGCAAUGCGCAGGAUAGGUGGGAGGCUUUGAUCCAUUGCUUGUGGGUGAUGGUGAGCCACUGGUGAGAUACCUUUGCGAGCUAGGGUUCUAACGGUUACCCGUCAUCCGGGAACCGGACAGUCUGGUGGGCAGUUUGACUGGGGCGGUCGCCUCCUAAAAGGUAACGGAGGCGCGCAAAGGUUUGCUCAGGCUGGUUGGAAAUCAGCCGACGAGUGUAAAAGCAGAAGCAAGCUUGACUGUGAGACCUACAAGUCGAACAGGGAGGAAACUCGGCUUUAGUGAUCCGACGGUUCUGAGUGGAAGGGCCGUCGCUCAACGGAUAAAAGUUACUCUAGGAUAACAGGCUGAUCUCCCCCAAGAGUUCACAUCGACGGGGAGGUUUGGCACCUCGAUGUCGGCUCAUCGCAACCUGGGGCUGAAGUCGGUCCCAAGGGUUGGGCUGUUCGCCCAUUAAAGCGGUACGCGAGCUGGGUUCAGAACGUCGUGAGACAGUUCGGUCCAUAUCCGGUGCAUGCGCAGGAAUAUUGAGAGGAUUUCUCCCUAGUACGAGAGGACCGGGAGGAACGCACCUCUGGUGUACCAGUUAUCGUGCCAACGGUAAACGCUGGGUAGCCAUGUGCGGAGUGGAUAACCGCUGAAAGCAUCUAAGUGGGAAGCCCACCUCAAGAUGAGUAUUCCCAUGGCUUAAGCCAGUAAGGUCACGGGAAGAACACCCGUUGAUAGGCUCUAUGUGGAAGCGCAGUAAUGCGUGAAGCAGAGGAGUACUAAUAGACCGAGGGCUUGAU